CCACAAGGGGUGAAGCCUGCGGUUCAAUUGGAGUCAACGCCGGGAACCUUACCGGGAGCGACAGCAGAUUGAAGGUCAAGCUGAAGACUUUACCAGACAAGCUGAGAGGAGGUGCAUGGCCGUCGCCAGCUCGUGCCGUGAGGCGUCCUGUUAAGUCAGGCAACGAGCGAGACCCCUACUUUUAAUUGCUAUCAGAGAUCGCAAGGUCUUUGAGGCUAGUUAGAAGGACUGCCGCCGCUAAGGCGGAGGAAGGAAGGGGCCACGGCAGGUCAGUAUGCCCCGAAACUCCCGGGCCACACGCGGGCUGCAAUGGUAAGGACAAUGGGUCCCAACCUCGAAAGAGAGAGGCAAUCCCCAAACCUUACCCCAGUUGUGACUGAGGGCUGCAACCCGCCCUCACGAAUCUGGAAUCCCUAGUAACCGCGUGUCACCAUCGCGCGGUGAA
rnacentral:rRNA from 1 species